rnacentral:rRNA from 1 species
AACGAACGCUGGCGGCGUGCUUAACACAUGCAAGUCGAGCGCGAAAGGGAGGGGCAACUCUCCCGAGUAGAGCGGCGCACGGGUGAGUAACGCGUGGGUAACCUGCCCCCGGGCGGGGGAUAACUACUCGAAAGGGUGGCUAAUACCGCAUGAGACCACGGGGUCUUCGGAUCCUGAGGCCAAAGGCGGCGCCGGCUUGCCGGCGCUGCCACCUGGGAAGGGGCCCGCGUACGAUUAGCUAGUUGGCAGGGUAACGGCCUACCAAGGCUACGAUCGUUAGCUGGUCUGAGAGGAUGGCCAGCCACACUGGAACUGAAACACGGUCCAGACUCCUACGGGAGGCAGCAGUGAGGAAUAUUGCGCAAUGGGGGAAACCCUGACGCAGCAACGCCGCGUGGGUGAAGAAGGCCUUCGGGUCGUAAAGCCCUUUCGGACGGGACGAGCGCCUCGCGGGGGCAAGCCGCGAGGCCUGACGGUACCGUAAGAAGAAGCACCGGCUAACUCCGUGCCAGCCGCCGCAGUAA